AUGAACGCUGGCGGCGUGCCUAAUACAUGCAAGUCGAGCGAACGGACGAGAAGCUUGCUUCUCUGAUGUUAGCGGCGGACGGGUGAGUAACACGUGGAUAACCUACCUAUAAGACUGGGAUAACUUCGGGAAACCGGAGCUAAUACCGGAUGAUAUUUUGAACCGCAUGGUUCAAAAGUGAAAGACGGUCUUGCUGUCACUUAUAGAUGGAUCCGCGCCGCAUUAGCUAGUUGGUAAGGUAACGGCUUACCAAGGCAACGAUGCAUAGCCGACCUGAGAGGGUGAUCGGCCACACUGGAACUGAGACACGGUCCAGACUCCUACGGGAGGCAGCAGUAGGGAAUCUUCCGCAAUGGGCGAAAGCCUGACGGAGCAACGCCGCGUGAGUGAUGAAGGUCUUCGGAUCGUAAAACUCUGUUAUUAGGGAAGAACAUAUGUGUAAGUAACUGUGCACAUCUUGACGGUACCUAAUCAGAAAGCCACGGCUAACUACGUG
rnacentral:rRNA from 1 species